AGAGUUUGAUCAUGGCUCAGGACGAACGCUGGCGGCGUGCUUAACACAUGCAAGUCGAACGGUGAUGGCCAGCUUGCUGGUCUGAUCAGUGGCGAACGGGUGAGUAACACGUGAGCAACCUGCCCUUCACUCUGGGAUAACCACGGGAAACGGUGGCUAAUACCGGAUAUGAGACGUACACGCAUGUGUCGCGUCUGGAAAGAUUUAUCGGUGAAGGAUGGGCUCGCGGCCUAUCAGCUUGUUGGUGGGGUAGUGGCCCACCAAGGCGACGACGGGUAGCCGGCCUGAGAGGGCGACCGGCCACACUGGGACUGAGACACGGCCCAGACUCCUACGGGAGGCAGCAGUGGGGAAUAUUGCACAAUGGGCGCAAGCCUGAUGCAGCGACGCCGCGUGAGGGAUGACGGCCUUCGGGUUGUAAACCUCUUUCAGCAGGGAAGAAGCGAAAGUGACGGUACCUGCAGAAGAAGCGCCGGCUAACUACGUGCCAGCAGCCGCGGUAAUACGUAGGGCGCAAGCGUUGUCCGGAAUUAUUGGGCGUAAAGAGCUCGUAGGCGGUUUGUCGCGUCUGCUGUGAAAACCUAAGGCUCAACCUUGGGCUUGCAGUGGGUACGGGCAGACUAGAGUGCGGUAGGGGUGACUGGAAUUCCUGGUGUAGCGGUGGAAUGCGCAGAUAUCAGGAGGAACACCGAUGGCGAAGGCAGGUCACUGGGCCGCAACUGACGCUGAGGAGCGAAAGCAUGGGGAGCGAACAGGAUUAGAUACCCUAGUAGUCC
rnacentral:rRNA from 1 species